AUGAAUGGAAUAUUUACAAAUGUUUUGUGGUAUUUGGAAUUCGUAGCCUUUGCCGUAACGUUGAUUUUAUUUUUCUGUUUCAUUUUGUAUAUAACUAAAGUAAAUUACGUGUCAUAUAAUAUGCGGUACGACAUGCGGCAGAAAUACAUGGCUGACGGCACGUGGUUUAUACAAGGCUAAGUAUAUGGAAGCGAAUAACAAGCAUAAAGCUAUACUCUUAGAACAAGUAAUAUGUACGAAGCCUAUACGAAAACGAAAGUUGAAGAAACCGAAUCAGAGACCCGUGUGCUGUGAUUUGGGAUGUGUUUGGUUCUGUAGACUUAUAGGGAGUAUCAUGACAAUUGCUUUGUGUUAUUUCGGAGCCUACGCAUUUAUAUCAGAUACGAAAUUGAAAUUUGGAUUGUUUGUG